rnacentral:rRNA from 1 species
GAGUUUGAUCAUGGCUCAGGAUGAACGCUAGCGGCAGGCUUAACACAUGCAAGUCGAGGGGUAUAGUUCUUCGGAAUUAGAGACCGGCGCACGGGUGCGUAACGCGUAUGCAAUCUACCUUUCACAGAGGGAUAGCCCAGAGAAAUUUGGAUUAAUACCUCAUAGUAUAACGACUCCGCAUGGAGAUGUUAUUAAAGUCACAACGGUGAAAGAUGAGCAUGCGUCCCAUUAGCUAGUUGGUAAGGUAACGGCUUACCAAGGCUACGAUGGGUAGGGGUCCUGAGAGGGAGAUCCCCCACACUGGUACUGAGACACGGACCAGACUCCUACGGGAGGCAGCAGUGAGGAAUAUUGGACAAUGGGCGCAAGCCUGAUCCAGCCAUGCCGCGUGCAGGAUGACGGUCCUAUGGAUUGUAAACUGCUUUUGCACAGGAAGAAACAACGCUACGUGUAGCGUCUUGACGGUACUGUGAGAAUAAUGAUCGGCUAACUCCGUGCCAGCAGUCGCGGUAAUACGGAGGAUCCAAGCGUUAU